GUGUAGAACUGGUUGAGAAAUACGAUGCAUUCAAGAUCUAGUUGCACUUUGCCAAUACAGUUUUCUCACGACGACCUCAGUGUAAUGUAGUGACCGACAUUGACUGACACACGUGUCAAGACGGAGGUUGCAAGGAUAGUUGCUCGUGCAAGGACUCUGGGUGCAACGAUUGUUCAGAUAAAGGUGGAUGCUGCUAGUUCUGCACCAUGGAAUCUCCCCCCCGCAGACGGCGACGCCCCUCCUUCGGCUCCCGGCUCAGCAAGGCUCUGGAGAAGUGCUUCCCUGUCGCCUUCUGCGUCACCUUCUUCAUUACCAUUGUGCUCUUCUACUGUUUAAUAUAGAGGGUUCAUGUUA